UACCAGCACCCCGAGUGGUCGGGACGAUUAUUGGGCCUAAAGCAUCCGUAGCCGGUUCUACAAGUCUUCCGUUAAAUCCACCUGCUUAACAGAUGGGCUGCGGAGGAUACUAUAGAGCUAGGAGGCGGGAGAGGCAAGCGGUACUUAGUGGGUAGGGGUAAAAUCCGUUGAUCCAUUGAAGACCACCAGUGGCGGAGGCGGCUUGCCAGAACGCACUCGACGGUGAGGGAUGAAAGCUGGGGGAGCAAACCGG
rnacentral:rRNA from 1 species